GAUGAACGCUGGCGGCGUGCUUAACACAUGCAAGUCGAACGAAGCACUUUGAAACUUUCGGGUUUCAAAGUGACUGAGUGGCGGACGGGUGAGUAACGCGUGGGUAACCUGCCUUAUACAGGGGGAUAACAGUUAGAAAUGACUGCUAAUACCGCAUAACCCGCUAGGGUCACAUGAUCUAGACGGAAAAGAUUUAUCGAUAUAAGAUGGAACCGCGUCUGAAUAGCUAGUUGGUGAGGUAAUGGCCCACCAAGGCGACGAUCAGUAGCCGGCUUGAGAGAGUGAACGGCCACAUUGGGACUGAGACACGGCCCAAACUCCUACGGGAGGCAGCAGUGGGGAAUAUUGCACAAUGGGGGAAACCCUGAUGCAGCAACGCCGCGUGAAGGAAGAAGUAUUUCGGUAUGUAAACUUCUAUCAGCAGGGAAGAAAAUGACGGUACCUGACUAAGAAGCCCCGGCUAACUACGUGCCAGCAGCCGCGGUAA
rnacentral:rRNA from 1 species